rnacentral:siRNA from 1 species
CUCCACCUUGUGGUUCACGAAGG